GCUGACUGACUGACUGACUGGUCGGGGAGCAGCAGCAGCAGUUCGGCUCGGGCAGCAGACGGCGGUCCAUAUCUAUCUAUUUUCGGCUCUGCUCUCCCCCUCCACCUCUCUUUUCUUUCCUUUCUUCCUUUUCUGAAGCCGGUUGAGAAAAAAAAAUGUCAGCCAGACCGGGAUUCUACCGGCAGGAGCUGAACAAGACCGUAUGGGAGGUUCCGGAGCGGUACCAGAACCUGACGCCGGUGGGCUCUGGAGCCUACGGCACGGUGUGCUCGGCUUAUGACGUGGUCUCCAGGCAGAAGGUGGCGGUGAAGAAACUCUCCAGGCCCUUCCAGUCUCUGAUCCACAGCCGCCGCUCGUACCGCGAACUCCGGCUUCUCAAGCACAUGAAACAUGAGAACGUCAUCGGGCUGCUGGACGUCUUCACGCCGGCGGGGACACUAGAAGACUUCAACGAGCUCUACCUGGUGACCAACUUGAUGGGGGCAGACCUCAACAACAUCGUCAAGUUUCAGAGGCUGUCGGACGAGCAUGUGCAGUUCCUAAUUUACCAGCUGCUCCGCGGCCUUAAGUACAUCCAUUCAGCUGGACUCAUCCACCGGGACCUCAAGCCAAGUAACGUGGCCGUGAACGAAGACUGUGAGCUCAGGAUACUUGACUUUGGAUUGGCCAGGCAGACGGACGAUGAGAUGACAGGGUAUGUGGCGACACGUUGGUACCGAGCUCCAGAGAUCAUGCUGAACUGGAUGCACUACAACCAGAACGUUGAUAUUUGGUCUGUGGGCUGCAUCAUGGGAGAACUGCUGAAAGGAAAAGUCUUAUUCCCCGGCACCGACUAUAUCGACCAGCUGAAGAGAAUCAUGGAGGUGGUUGGCACCCCGACACCGGACCUGCUGAAGAAGAUCUGCUCCGAACACGCCCAGAAGUACAUCCAGUCUCUUCCCUUCAUGCCCCAACAAGACAUGGAAAAGAUCUUCAGAGGAGCAAACCCUCUUGCUGCUCUGUCCGUACCGUCAGUCUGCCGCGGCCAAACCCUCCUCCACUUACCUUCCUGUUCCUGUCGCCCUGGCAGCCAUCGACCUGCUGAAGCGCAUGCUGGUUCUGGACUGUGAUGAGCGGAUCUCGGCCAGCGAGGCCCUGGCCCACCCUUACUUCUCGCAGUACCACGACCCAGACGACGAGCCGGAGGCUCCGCCUUACGACCAAACACUGGAGAGCAAGGACCGGACUCUGGAGGAGUGGAAAGAGCUGGUGUUCGAAGAGGUGAGCAGCUUUAAGGCGUCGGGCAGUAAGACGGACAGCCUCCAGGCGGAGCAGUAAGGGCCCCUCUGCUCCACCGUCAACCCAGACCAACAGCCACACACUCACUGGAUGCAAAACAGACCGUGGAGAAAAGCAACAUUAAUUGUGUUUGAUUGUUUUUGACGUGAAAAGGGCAACGGCGGUCUCCAUGGGGACACAAACAUUCCAGGCGCAGGGAUCAUGUUUGGGAUGGUGUUCAAAAGGACAUCUCUGCAGCAGAAAGUCGCUUCUUCCUGUUACAUUUCCGCUGACGGACGGUGAAAUGAGGAACCGUCUGAGUGUCGAAAGGAUUGGUGGGGGGGAGGAACUUUCGGUGGCAGAUCUGUCCUUACAGGCUGAGAGAACGGUAAAGACAAAGGUAUAAAUACAUAAAUACGCACACUAGGAUUUCCAAAGCAACGUCAGGGACAUAUCACCCAUCAGUUCCAUGAACCUAGUGCUUUCAUUUAUGGGAUUCAUCUUUAACCUUCUGGAGUUCCUUCGUUUUGAUUCGCCACCGGCUACGUUUAAAUGACAGAGAAAUUUCAUGAAUCAACCAUUUUUUAAAAAUAUUAUUGCCAUUUUUAACUUCUGUUCUCAUCAUGUAAUAAAAGUUACAAAUGUUUUGGAAUUUUAACUCCUUAAAUGUCUAUUUUAGUGAUUAAAUAUCUCAAUUUUUUAAGAAAAAAAAAAACACAAAAAGUUGUUUUUUUCCCCCAAUCUGUUUAUGAAAUUGAUCAAUUUACACAACAAGCAAAAACUAUGAAUUAAUUCCAACAUCAGGGGAAAAGAAUUACACUCAAACUAAACUCAGAUUUUAUUGGUAGUGUGUUCUAAACGUUCGAAUGGUAGUAAAUGGCAACACAACUAUUAGAAGCAACACACUUUGUGAUGUUUAAUUUAUUAAAAACUUUAAAGGUAAGAUGAUAAAGAUUUCACCUGGUCAUGUCUAACACAGGCUGCAUUAACAAUCAGGUUUUCCAAAACAAAAUAAUAAAAAAAACCCCACAAAAAACAAAUUGAGGGACCCAGAAGGUUAAAGGUUAAAGGUCGCCUGCGUUACACUGAAGCAUGAUUUAUUCUCAUUUUACAGUCGUGUCUUAUAACUGGAACUGUAUUGUAAUCUCUCUCUGUUUCUAAUGCACAAUAGCAGAAUUUUCUACUUGUUCAGUCAAACAAACUGCUGCUUCGUCUCUCCUGCUUAUUUACACCUGAACACCAACUGUGCUGUUAUUAGCAAGAUAAUGAAUAUAUGCCAAAGCUGGAAGAGUGUGACGGCGCUGCAGGUGUGUGUUUACUCUGGAACCUCGCUCUCAUACACAUCCUGCUGGCGGCUGAUUGUUGGUCACCUGUUAGCUUUGGCUGCUCUGCUUCAGGCUCCUUCGUUUGCUGCCCGUAUGUGAGUUUACACUGAUUAAUGUUAAAUUCUGCAAACAGCCUCAGACGGUAUCUAUCCAAUAAAGUACAGGAGUCUCAUAUAAUGUGGAGGUCAAUCAAACAAGGCAACAUUCUGGCUGUUUAUGGCCACCAUAAAGCUCUAUUUGUGCUCCCCAGGUCUAAUGAUUGCGAUUAAAAGAAAAUAGAGUCUAACCAGGGUCAACUUUGUUUAGCUUCGUGUCUGUCUUUCAUCCUUAGCGCAACAUUUUUGCCUGACAUCAUCUGAUGCAAACCCUCAAUUGAAAUGCAUGACGCGUGUAGUCGGUGCAUGUGAACAUCGUUACAGAGCGUCGUCCGUGUCUUGCUGCAAACUGGAGUUUUGUUCAGACCAUUUGUUCACUAAAACAAAUGGCUACACUGCAAUACGCGAGGUUUCUAAAGCCGGUGGAAGAUUACAGUAUUUUAGGGUCCUUCUAGAGCGUGCUAGGCAUGGGCUAGUAUGAUAUUCACCCAGUUCUACAUCAUACAAAUACCACAGUGUCUCUCUGUUUAAAAUGUUCAAUAUAUAAACAAUGAUAUUUAAUACGGAUGCAACGAUAUGGAAACGUCCUAUAAUCAUGCAACGCAUCACAUUCACUGUCACAUGACCAAACAGAUCCCACACGACCAACCUCCUGCUUCUGAAACACAAACAAGAAGGAAAUAAAGAUCAGUCGUUAAUAUCAACCCAGUUUUACUGAUCAGACCAAAACCGACAUGUUAAAAAAUGACCAACAUCAGCAUAUAUACAUAUAUACAUAUUGUGGAUCCCUAAAAUUUAGUCACCAGAAAUAAAAAAUGCAUAUCAUUAUCUAGUUGUUAUAAGUCAGCUAUCAAAGUACAAUCGAAAUACUACAAACAAAAUAACACGGCAUAUUGAUUAUUACAGUUGUAUAAAGUUAACUACCCAUAUACUUAUUAUUAUAAACAGACUAUUUUCAAAAUGUUGAACAAAUAUGUGGUGAAUGAAUCAGAUGAGUCAGGUGGCCAGCCGGACAUCCUGCUUGUAAAUGUGUGACUUGUUUAAAAUAGUCUUAGAAAGAGUGAUGGCUGGUGCUGCCUUACUGUCCACUCAACCCCAACUAUCCACAACUGGAAGUAUUUCCAAAUUGCCAAAUGUGUUUUUCUUGUGAGUUAGAUAAAAAGUAUAGUACUUUUAUUUCAGCCAGUAUUUUUAUUCAUAAGCUGACUGAAAUAACGCCACAUCUGAAUAAAACUCUAGUGACUUUAUAAUGACACCAUGUCUUCAUAUCAUUAUAAAGAACUUUAAAUCAGAAUGGGAGAAACUUUUAGCAGCUUGGAAAUGAAAUAUUUGAUACCAAUAACUGGCCCAUGCCUAGAACAGAUUUAUGUUAAUUAAAAUUUUUGUUGUAAAAAGUUAAUUGUAUUUCUGAAUUUAGAUCAAGUUUGCCCAAGAUUUUUAUGGAAGCUAAUGCUAAUGAGUUUGCUUAAAAGACCCUGAACACGUAGCCCAACAGGCUAAAGUGCUAAUAUUUUUCUAGUGUUAGCUUUGUUAGCUCAUUGGGUUAGAAUCUGUUGUAAUGUAACUAGAAGCAUUACAAUUGUAGAUUUUCAGGCAUUUCUGUAAUCUAGGGUAAUCUGUAACUUACCAUUUUGUUUUUUAUUCAAAUGCACAAAAUCGAACAGCUUUUGGCUAAAUUCAUCAAGUUUAAUGUACCAGGUGUCAUUUUACAUAUUGCUAAAUUAGCAGCACAAAGAGCAAAUGUUUACAAGUACAGUCCAAAAAUGUUUUUUUUAUUAUUAUUAUUAUUUCUUUUGCUUUCAUGUAGCAUUUUCAGCAAGUUGUCCAUUAACACUGGAUGAAAAAUAUUGAGCCUAUUGUCCUAGUAAAUCGAAACGGUCUCCGUCUGAGCAUACUAAAAGUCUGAAUGUUUAAACAUGAUAUGUUUAUGUUAAUGUAUCUGUGGUGGACUUGAAUAACAGCUGCAUACUGAAUGUAUAUGUUUACUGUAUGUAUGUUUGUUAAAAGUUAGUGUUGGCUUUUGAAUACACGUUGGCAUGUGAUUCAGUUGUUUGGGUUUCAGAUCACUGCAAGAAUUGUCAGUUCUUUUAUCAACAGGUAGUUAUGGAAGUUUGAGCUUCAACAGAAUAAAUACUAAUGUUUUCUUGUUUUUUUUUGCACCAAAUAUUUUCUGUGAUUUUUAUGUAUUCUGGCUGUAUUAUUAAAGAAAAUGUGUUCUUAAAAGUCCA